rnacentral:rRNA from 1 species
ACGGCUCAGUAACACGUCGGUAACCUACCCUCGGGAGGGGGAUAACCCCGGGAAACUGGGGCUAAUUCCCCAUAGGCCUGAGGUACUGGAAGGUCCUCAGGCCGAAAGGGACUUAUGUCCGCCCGAGAAUGGGCCGGCGGCCGAUUAGGUAGUUGGUGGGGUAAUGGCCCACCAAGCCGAAGAUCGGUACGGGCUGUGAGAGCAGGAGCCCGGAGAUGGACACUGAGACACGGGUCCAGGCCCUACGGGGCGCAGCAGGCGCGAAACCUCCGCAAUGCGGGAAACCGCGACGGGGGGACCCCGAGUGCCGUGGCAACGCCACGGCUUUUCCGGAGUGUAAAAAGCUCCGGGAAUAAGGGCUGGGCAAGGCCGGUGGCAGCCGCCGCGGUAAUACCGGCGGCCCGAGUGGUGGCCGCUAUUAUUGGGCCUAAAGCGUCCGUAGCCGGGCCCGUAAGUCCCUGGCGAAAUCCCACGGCUCAACCGUGGGGCUUGCUGGGGAUACUGCGGGUCUUGGGACCGGGAGAGGCGGGGGGUACCCCUGGGGUAGGGGUGAAAUCCUAUAAUCCCAGGGGGACCGCCAGUGGCGAAGGCGCCCCGCUGGAACGGGUCCGACGGUGAGGGACGAAGGCCAGGGGAGCAAACCGGAUUAGAUACCCGGGUAGUCCUGGCUGUAAAGGAUGCGGGCUAGGUGUCGGGUGAGCCUCGAGCUCGCCCGGUGCCGUAGGGAAGCCGUUAAGCCCGCCGCCUGGGGAGUACGGCCGCAAGGCUGAAACUUAAAGGAAUUGGCGGGGGAG